rnacentral:rRNA from 1 species
UACCAGCUUUCCGAGUGGUAGGGACGAUUAUUGGGCUUAAAGCGUCCGUAGCCGGCCCGGCAAGUCUCUCGUUAAAUCCAGCGACCUAAUCGUUGGGCUGCAGGAGAUACUGUUGGGCUAGGGGGCAGGAGAGGCCGACGGUAUUCCCGGGGUAGGGGUGAAAUCCUAUAAUCCCGGGAGGACCACCAGUGGCGAAGGCUGUCGGCUAGAACGCGCUCGACGGUGAGGGACGAAAGCUGGGGGAG